GACGUAGGGGGCGAGCGUUGUCCGGAUUUAUUGGGCGUAAAGAGCGUGUAGGCGGCUUUACAGGUCCGUUGUGAAAACUCGAGGCUCAACCUCGAGACGCCGGUGGAAACCGUAAGGCUAGAGUCCGGAAGAGGAGAGUGGAAUUCCUGGUGUAGCGGUGAAAUGCGCAGAUAUCAGGAGGAACACCCGUGGCGAAAGCGGCUCUCUGGGACGGUACUGACGCUGAGACGCGAAAGCGUGGGGAGCAAACAGG
rnacentral:rRNA from 1 species